rnacentral:rRNA from 1 species
UACGAAGGGGGCUAGCGUUGUUCGGAAUCACUGGGCGUAAAGGGCGCGUAGGCGGCUUUGUAAGUCGGGGGUGAAAGCCUGUGGCUCAACCACAGAAUUGCCUUCGAUACUGCAUGGCUUGAGACCGGAAGAGGUAAGUGGAACUGCGAGUGUAGAGGUGAAAUUCGUAGAUAUUCGGAGGAACACCAGUGGCGAAGGCGGCUCACUGGUCCGGUACUGACGCUGAGGUGCGAAAGCGUGGGGAGCAAACAGGG